GUGAAUCAUCGAAUUUUUGAACGCAAAUUGCACUCUCUGGUAUUCCGGAGAGUAUGCCUGUUUGAGGGUCAGUUUUAAUCACAAUCGGUGUGUUUGCUUCCUUUCUUGGUGUCUUCCCGGAUUUGCGUCGUCUUGCCUUCGGUUACGUGACCUAUAAUUUUGCAUGCUCUUUUCUUUCCUAUUUAAUUGCCUUUACGUACCUUUCCUAUAUCGUAUUUUAGGUGUUUUCAUCC
rnacentral:misc_RNA from 1 species